rnacentral:rRNA from 1 species
UAUAGAGACUGCAAGCGUUAUUCGGAUUCACUGGGCGUAAAGGGUGCGCAGGCGGUUGUGUGUGUCAGGUGUGAAAUCCCGGAGCUUAACUCCGGAACUGCGCCUGAAACUACACGACUAGAGCAUUGGAGAGGGAAGUGGAAUUCAUGGUGUAGCAGUGAAAUGCGUAGAUAUUCGGAAGAACACCAGAGGCGAAGGCGACUUCCUGGACAAUCGCUGACGCUCAGGCACGAAAGCAUGGGGAGCAAAAGGG